UAAUCUCACCACAACUACUUUAUUGUUGUUGUAUGUGGACCUGGAUGUUGCCGUGUAACAAACGGCUCGUCUGAAAUGCCUGAGUGUACCCUGCUUUGUGGCGUAUUCGGUGUGAUAAAUCUUCACCGGAGUUGACUUUCGGGUCGCGUCUGCUUAACAUGGCUCUAUGCUUCCAACCGUCCUAACAAGACAACCUUUGACA
rnacentral:misc_RNA from 2 species